UGCUAUACUGCAGUCGAGCGGACAGAAGGGAGCUUGCUCCCGGAUGUUAGCGGCGGACGGGUGAGUAACACGUGGGUAACCUGCCUGUAAGACUGGGAUAACUCCGGGAAACCGGAGCUAAUACCGGAUAGUUCCUUGAACCGCAUGGUUCAAGGAUGAAAGACGGUUUCGGCUGUCACUUACAGAUGGACCCGCGGCGCAUUAGCUAGUUGGUGGGGUAAUGGCUCACCAAGGCGACGAUGCGUAGCCGACCUGAGAGGGUGAUCGGCCACACUGGGACUGAGACACGGCCCAGACUCCUACGGGAGGCAGCAGUAGGGAAUCUUCCGCAAUGGACGAAAGUCUGACGGAGCAACGCCGCGUGAGUGAUGAAGGUUUUCGGAUCGUAAAGCUCUGUUGUUAGGGAAGAACAAGUGCGAGAGUAACUGCUCGCACCUUGACGGUACCUAACCAGAAAGCCACGGCUAACUACGUGCCAGCAGCCGCGGUAAUACGUAGGUGGCAAGCGUUGUCCGGAAUUAUUGGGCGUAAAGGGCUCGCAGGCGGUUUCUUAAGUCUGAUGUGAAAGCCCCCGGCUCAACCGGGGGAGGGUCAUUGGAAACUGGGAAACUUGAGUGCAGAAGAGGAGAGUGGAAUUCCACGUGUAGCGGUGAAAUGCGUAGAGAUGUGGAGGAACACCAGUGGCGAAGGCGACUCUCUGGUCUGUAACUGACGCUGAGGAGCGAAAGCGUGGGGAGCGAACAGGAUUAGAUACCCUGGUAGUCCACGCCGUAAACGAUGAGUGCUAAGUGGUAGGGGGGUUUCCGCCCCUUAGUGCUGCAGCUAACGCAUUAAGCACUCCCGCCUGGGGGAGUACGGGCCGCAAGACUGAAACUUCAAAGGAAUUUGACGGGGGGCCCGCACAAGCCGUGGGAGCAUGKUGGUUUAAUUCCAAAGCACCGCGAAGAAACCUAACCAGGUCUUUGACUUCCUCUGACAACCCUUAAAAAUAGGGGUUUUCCCUUUCGGGGACNGAAUGGAMAGGGGGGUGCAUGGUUGUCCUCAMCUCCGUGUCCUGGRA
rnacentral:rRNA from 1 species